rnacentral:misc_RNA from 1 species
GAAUCACUGAAAAACAAACUUAGUGUGGCCAAGAAACAAACUUAGUGUGAGAUUAAUAAAUUCCCAAACACCGAUUUUCAAAUGUAAGUUCUACUUAAAUGGCCUAUCCUCACAUGAAUAAACCUCAGUAACUUGUAUUACGGAAUAAUUUACAUCAAUUGAUAUCAGAAUCAGCUCCAUCUUGCAAGAUCCGACACUCUGAGUGAUGGCUCAUGGAAUGGUGGUCUAGACCCACUGUGUAAGGAUAGGCGGCCCGUGUGUAGGGUGUUAGCCACGUCUAAUGUGAUCAUGACCAACAUGGCCAUGACCAAUAAGGACAUUGGUUCUGCAAACAUGGAGUAUUGUUAUGAUAUUGUUACAAUCCUUCAUCAUUAAGGAACAACCUUGAUGAGAAGAUAAUAAAUCCCUAAGCACCCUCCCCUUGCAAAUCGAUUUUCAAGAAUGAGUUUUACUUAGGUGGCCUCCUUACUUAGUACAACCUUAGCGAUAGAGGGCCAGCUUGCAUUCUAAAUCCCUCUGACCUCAAAUACCAGCCGAAAUUAAAUUGAAUUUUUGCUUGAGACGAACCCAGUGACGAGUUUUAUUGAUUUUUGAGUGAUGCACUAGUUGAGCACAUCUAUCAACCAAGGGGAAGAGCAAAGAGUAAGAGAGGUUAUUAAUGGAGAAGCUACAACAACCAACUAGCAUGACUAACUGUACACAGAUACAAUUGAAGAUUGCUGUACACCCGAAAUUAUUUAUCAAUCCUGAGGUUAUUACAAAGAUGU